GAGCACGCGCGUGUGGCAUAUCAAUAAGCGGAGGAAAAGAAACUAACAAGGAUUCCCUUAGUAACGGCGAGUGAAGCGGGAAGAGCUCAAAUUUGAAAUCUUCAAGGGUUCUACCUUGACGAAUUGUAGUUUAUAAGAAGUGUUUUCUGUUAGUAGAGUGGCAAAAGUUCUUUGGAAUAGGACAUCAUAGAGGGUGAGAAUCCCGUAUUUGGUCAUUCUUUCUAGCUUUGUGAUACACUUUCAACGAGUCGGAUUGUUUGGGAAUGCAGUCCAAAAUGGGUGGUAAAUUUCAUCUAAAGCUAAAUAUUGGCGAGAGACCGAUAGCGAACAAGUACCGUGAGGGAAAGAUGAAAAGAACUUUGAAAAGAGAGUUAAACAGUACGUGAAAUUGUCAAAAGGGAAGCGUUUGACACCAGUGUUGUUUUUCCGAAAAUCAAUUACGAAUGUUUUGAUUUUUGAGGAAGUUAUGACUUCAUCGGCUUGCUUCUCUCUUUAUGAAACUUUCUUAAUGCACUUUUCGGUUAACAAGUCAACAUCAAUUUCUUUUGUUGUAAAAGGGUACUGAGGAAGGUGGCUUUCUUUUCGGAGAAAGUGUUUAUAGCCUUGUGCCUCUGCAAUCGGAGAGAUUGAGGUCUGCAGCGUAGAUCCUUCGGGGUUAGAUACAUUUGUGCUAAGUUAUAGCUUUUCAUAGACAACUUGUUGACUAUGUUAAGUCUUGUAGCUUACUCGCUUAUGCUAUUUUACCUACGCUUAGGAUGUUGAGCGCAUGUCUCUCUCU
rnacentral:rRNA from 1 species